AAAGAUUAAGCCAUGCAUGUCUAAGUAUAAGCAAUUAUACGGCGAAACUGCGAAUGGCUCAUUAUAUAAGUUAUCGUUUAUUUGAUAGUACCUUACUACUUGGAUAACCGUGGUAAUUCUAGAGCUAAUACAUGCUUAAAAUCCCGACUUCGGAAGGGAUGUAUUUAUUAGAUUAAAAACCAAUGCCCUUCGGGGCUCUCUGGUGAUUCAUGAUAACUUCUCGAAUCGCAUGGCCUUGCGCCGGCGAUGGUUCAUUCAAAUUUCUUCCCUAUCAACUUUCGAUGCUACGGUAUUGUCCUAGCAUGGUUG
rnacentral:rRNA from 1 species